GGGCAGGGCAUUGACCAAUGGCUGAGCAGGACCACUAACGGUCACUCCUUGACAGUUGGUUGCUGUGGGCAGGGCCAGGGCAUUGACCAAUGGCUGAGCAGGACCACUAACUGUCACUCCUUGACAGUUGGUUGCUUGUGGACCGGGACCACUGUGUCACUUAUCAAUAGCUGAGUGGGACUUGUUGCCUGGAAACUGUGGAGAGUAAUGGCACAUAGUGAUGGCCAUGUGCUAAGGGCUGUGCUCAGCUACUCUCUGUUAUACUACCUUGUAACACAUCUAAGGUCAGACGACUCUAUUAUUUUCCAAACUUUACUUUCAUCUCUGGCUCCAAGGUGGCUGCUCCUGCUCCUGUCAUCACAUAAGAAUCUUAGCCAGCAGGAAGACAGAAAGGAAGCAGACUGCAGAAUCCUCGCACAGCUGUCAAGCCAUGUGAAAGAACCCAGACCAACAGAGCAUAUGACCAUGAAGGACCAAAGAAGUCAAUUUUCUAACGUCUCAUAGUUGACUUAAUUUGUUUUUUACUUAAAGGUUUAGAUUAGGAAGGAAUAAGUAAAUGCAUUCUUAUAAUUACUGAACAGGGUAAGGUUUUCUUUUGCCUCGUUCAGAGCAGAUGCAAAAGCCAUUUUGUCAUGUUGCAACACAAGGUCUACAGACCAUCUGGAGAAUCUAUUAAAAUGGAAAGGAUUCAGUACAAUUUGGAUUACAUGCUUUUAAUAAAGAUAUGAGAGAAUCCA